rnacentral:rRNA from 1 species
AGUGAACGCUGGCGGCAGGCCUAACACAUGCAAGUCGAACGGCAGCACAGCAGUAGCAAUACUGUGGGUGGCGAGUGGCGGACGGGUGAGGAAUACAUCGGAAUCUGUCUUAUCGUGGGGGACAACGUAGGGAAACUUACGCUAAUCCCGCAUACGACCUACGGGUGAAAGCGGAGGACCUUCGGGCUUCGCCCGAUAAGAUGAGCCGAAGUCGGAUUAGCUAGUUGGCGGGGUAAAGGCCCACCAAGGCGACGAUCCGUAGCUGGUCUGAGCGGAUGAUCAGCCACACUGGAACUGAGACACGGUCCAGACUCCUACUGGAGGCAGCAGUGGGGAAUAUUGGACAAUGGGCGCAAGCCUGAUCCAGCCAUGCCGCGUGGGUGAAGAGGGCCUUCCGGUUGUAAAGCCCUUUUGUCCGGAAAGAAAAGCAUCGGGUUAAUACCUCGGUUUUCUGACGGUACCGGAAGAAUAAGCACCGGCUAACUUCGUGCCAGCAGCCGCGGUAAAAC